AGUGAACGCUGGCGGCAGGCCUAACACAUGCAAGUCGAGCGGAUGAAGGGAGCUUGCUCCUGGAUUCAGCGGCGGACGGGUGAGUAAUGCCUAGGAAUCUGCCUGUUAGUGGGGGAUAACGUCCGGAAACGGGCGCUAAUACCGCAUACGUCCUUAGGGAGAAAGUGGGGGAUCUUCGGACCUCACGCUAUCAGAUGAGCCUAUGUCGGAUUAGCUAGUUGGUGGGGUAAAGGCCUACCAAGGCGACGAUCCGUAACUGGUCUGAGAGGAUGAUCAGUCACACUGGAACUGAGACACGGUCCAGACUCCUACGGGAGGCAGCAGUGGGGAAUAUUGGACAAUGGGCGAAAGCCUGAUCCAGCCAUGCCGCGUGUGUGAAGAAGGUCUUCGGAUUGUAAAGCACUUUAAGUUGGGAGGAAGGGCAGUAAGUUAAUACCUUGCUGUUUUGACGUUACCAACAGAAUAAGCACCGGCUAACUUCGUG
rnacentral:rRNA from 1 species